rnacentral:rRNA from 1 species
CUCUGGAUCAGUGGCGAACGGGUGAGUAACACGUGAGUAACCUGCCCUUGACUCUGGGAUAAGCGUUGGAAACGACGUCUAAUACCGGAUACGACGACCGAUGGCAUCAUCUGGUUGUGGAAAGAAUUUCGGUCAAGGAUGGACUCGCGGCCUAUCAGCUAGUUGGUGAGGUAAUGGCCCACCAAGGCGACGACGGGUAGCCGGCCUGAGAGGGUGACCGGCCACACUGGGACUGAGACACGGCCCAGACUCCUACGGGAGGCAGCAGUGGGGAAUAUUGCACAAUGGGCGCAAGCCUGAUGCAGCAACGCCGCGUGAGGGAUGACGGCCUUCGGGUUGUAAACCUCUUUUAGUAGGGAAGAAGCGAAAGUGACGGUACCUGCAGAAAAAGCACCGGCUAACUACGUGCCAGCAGCCGCGGUAAUACGUAGGGUGCAAGCGUUGUCCGGAAUUAUUGGGCGUAAAGAGCUCGUAGGCGGUUUGUCGCGUCUGCUGUGAAAACUGGAGGCUCAACCUCCAGCCUGCAGUGGGUACGGGCAGACUAGAGUGCGGUAGGGGAGAUUGGAAUUCCUGGUGUAGCGGUGGAAUGCGCAGAUAUCAGGAGGAACACCGAUGGCGAAGGCAGAUCUCUGGGGGCCGUAACUGACGCUGAGGAGCGAAAGCGUGGGGAGCGAACGGAUACCAUCCCCUGGUAGUCCACGCCGUAAACGUUGGGAACUAGAUGUGGGGACCAUUCCACGGUCUCCGUGUCGCAGCUAACGCAUUAAGUUCCCCGCCUGGGGAGUACGGCCGCAAGGCUAAACUGAAAGGAAUUGACGGGGGCCCGCACAAGCGGCGGAGCAUGCGGAUUGCGGCGGAGCAUGCGGAUUAAUUCGAUGCAACGCGAAGAACCUUACCAAGGCUUGACAUAUACGAGAACGGGCCAGAAAUGGUCAACUCUUUGGACACUCGUAAACAGGUGGUGCAUGGUUGUCGUCAGCUCGUGUCGUGAGAUGUUGGGUUAAGUCCCGCAACGAGCGCAACCCUCGUUCUAUGUUGCCAGCACGUAAUGGUGGGAACUCAUAGGAGACUGCCGGGGUCAACUCGGAGGAAGGUGGGGAUGACGUCAAAUCAUCAUGCCCCUUAUGUCUUGGGCUUCACGCAUGCUACAAUGGCCGGUACAAAGGGCUGCAAUACCGUAAGGUGGAGCGAAUCCCAAAAAGCCGGUCUCAGUUCGGAUUGAGGUCUGCAACUCGACCUCAUGAAGUCGGAGUCGCUAGUAAUCGUGGAUCAGCAACGCCACGGUGAAUACGUUCCCGGGCCUUGUACACACCGCCCGUCAAGUCAUGAAAGUCGGUAACACCCGAAGCCGG